GACGAACGCUGGCGGCGUGCUUAACACAUGCAAGUCGAACGAUGAUCAGGAGCUUGCUCCUGUGAUUAGUGGCGAACGGGUGAGUAACACGUGAGUAACCUGCCCCUGACUCUGGGAUAAGCGUUGGAAACGACGUCUAAUACUGGAUACGACUGCCGGCCGCAUGGUCUGGUGGUGGAAAGAUUUUUUGGUUGGGGAUGGACUCGCGGCCUAUCAGCUUGUUGGUGAGGUAAUGGCUCACCACGGCGACGACGGGUAGCCGGCCUGAGAGGGUGACCGGCCACACUGGGCCUGAGACACGGCCCAGACUCCUACGGGAGGCAGCAGUGGGGAAUAUUGCACAAUGGGCGAAAGCCUGGUGCAGCAACGCCGCGUGAGGGAUGACGGCCUUCGGGUUGUAAACCUCUUUUAGUAGGGAAGAAGCGAAAGUGACGGUACCUGCAGAAAAAGCACCGGCUAACUACGUGCCAGCAGCCGCCGUAA
rnacentral:rRNA from 1 species